GAUAAAAUCAUCCAUUUAUAGACAUAUUAAUUUAAUCAGAACGAGAUUUUAUAUACAUUGACAUCGUUUGGCAUUUAUGAUUGCUAAAGUCCGUGCCAAUUAACAUACAAUUUUUUCAUUGCGACAUUCAAACCCACAUUAAACGCAAACAACUCGAAAAUGUCAGCUCCUAGCCAUUUUAAAAUGUUUUUGCAAAAGAUGAUUCCAGAAGUACCUCUGUCAAACACAAUGGAAGCUGAUCACAUAAUUAGAAGGUCUAUGGCACUUUUACGACUUUGCUAUCAGGACGUGCCUACUGGAUUUGAUCUCUUGGACCAGAAA